rnacentral:misc_RNA from 1 species
UUUUUCCUCUACCUCCUCCUCGUGUGCCGCACGCAUAUACACACACGUACACACAUACACACGCACAGUCUCUCGCUCUCUGCUUGAGGAGGCCUCGCUCUGUGUGUCUCUGCCACUCUCCAUCCUCUCUUGCGCCUCUUCGUCGGCAUCCUCCGUCUUCUCUCUUUAUUACACGAGCUUCACCGCUUUCGUGCUUUCGUACGCCUGCGUGUUUUCUUUUACGAGCAGUAGUCAUCUACCCUUCGCCUCCCCUUCCUUCCGCAGACACAUUCCUCGGGCCUGUCUCGCUGCCUCUCUCGUUUUUUUUCCUUUGUCGCUUUAUUCUUUUUUUUUCUGUAGUUGUUGCUGUGGUUGUGGUGACCGUGCGUUGUGCCUUUCUUUGCUUCCCCCCGUUUUUUUUUCGCCUUGCGGCUCACUCACGCCUGUGAUAGCGCUUCUCCCUCCUUCUUUCCUCUGUCCGUCUGCCUGAACAUUUUUUUCCUUGUGGCGUAAUUCGGCGUCUUCGCACUCCGCUGUGCGCAUCGACGCGUGCACGUCCACUAACAGAGAGAGAUCGUACGACGUGCGUGUUCUCCCGCCAGAUUUGACGGGCUCGCAUUGCCUUUGCUAGUUAUAUAUCUAUCUAUCUAUCUAUAUAUAUAUAUAUUUCACCCUCGUGCGCGCAACCUGCUUCUUUGCUGCGCGCCCGAUUGUCUUGCCAGUCUCGUCUCCGUCGUCUGCCGCCUGGCGGGACACCAGCUUUGCGUGCUCCUGCACUCGCGUUUUUGGGCGCUCGUGCGAGUGCGUUAGUGCGGGGUUUCUGUGUGCACCGCGCAAGUACACCAGAAAAAGAAAAAAAAACAGUAGAACAUGACAACUUCAACGCACGCUGCACUUGCGCCGCGUGCGCUACGGCACGCCCUGACAGCACGUGCAAGUGCUCCUCGACUGCCGAGCGGGGCAUCGCCGUGCUGCUGCCACGGCGCUUUUCGAGCAGCCCGCAUGGUGUGGGUCGGUGUGGCUGCGUCGCUGAUGCCUGUGACACUCGCUUCUUCGCAUCGGUGCGCAUCCUCGAAAGGAUUCUCGAAGAACGACACGCCAUCACCGCCACCGCCACCGGUGCCGCCGUCUUCUGCUGUGCCGCAGGAUACGGCGACACCCGGCUGGAUUGCGACUCGCAAGCCAAAUGGCGAGCAGCGCAUGUCCAUUUCGAUUCGCAGCACCGCGCAACGACAGCUUGCACGUCGACAACCGCCGACAACCUCAUCGAGCUCCGCUUCCCUACCUCGGGCUGCGUUUGCUCCGGCGAGCCGCCCCGCCUCUGCUGCUGAGGCAACGCCCGAGCCAGCCUCGUCGUCCCAGGUCCCAGAAAAGCAGGAAGCCGCGUCAAAGGCGAUCCUUGAUAAUGCACGUUUUUCCUCUUGCGCUGCCGCACCGCCGCCGUUUUCCGCCAGCAGCGAUCAGCGCUCUAAUCAGAACAACAAGUGUAUCCACGACACACCCACUCUGACGUCUAAGCCUCCGCCACCGACGUCUUCCGCUUCAUCAAGGGGCGCAGCGGCUCCGUCAUCGCCACCCUCAGCGCCAUCUUCAACCACCGGCACACCAAGAAGCGGUCAUGACGCUGAGCCGGAGUGUCCUCACGACGCGGCGUCGUCCACUGCAUCCCCUUCUGCAGCGGGGUCGUCGGCGGUCGCCAGUUCGCAAAGGACAGCCGCGCCGCACUCGCUGCUUUACUCGGUGUCCCGUUUCACAGAGCCCGUCAAGCGCAUUAUUCUAAUCCGGAACGGCCGCAGCGAGGCCAAUGAAGAUGUGAGGGCGUACGUGCAGACACCAGACUGGCGCAUUCCAUUGGUAGAGGAGGGAAAGCGCGAGGCGAUCGCGGCGGGGCGCGCGCUGAGCGAGCUCAUCGGCGAUGAUCCCGUGUACUUUUACUACUCUCCGUACAUCCGAUCGCGGCAGUCGCUGCGAUACGUGCUGCAGGGCUUUGAUGAGGCCCGAUUAAGUGGGCUGUCACACACGCAGGAGUGGUGGGAGGAUGAAGAAACCGCCGGUGUCGCAUCAGCGGCAGCGGCUGCAGAGUCUUUGACGCUUAAGUGCGCCACCGCAUCAGCGGACGAGGCGGGCGCGCCACCUCUACUCGCCCCGGCUCCAUCAGCGAUCUCUACCAACGCGACUUCUUCAGACGCGCAGUGUUGCUUCCAUCGCGACCCAUCUCUUGUGCUGAACAGAGGAACGAGCAACAACAUCAUUGGCGUCCGCGAAGAUGUGCGUCUUCGAGACGGCGACAUUGGCCGCUACACGAGCGCCGACGAGCUCAUGCACCACCUUGUGGAGCGUGAACGAUACGGCAGGUUCUUCUACCGCUUCCCCUUUGGCGAGAGCGGCGCGGACGUCUGCGACCGUGUCACCUCCUUCCUCGAUGCGUUUCAGCGCGAGCGGGUCGAGUUUCCGAUGGACACAAGCGUCGUCAUCAUCACCCAUGGGCUGACGAUGCGCAUGUUUAUCAAGCGCUGGUUCUACCUCACGGUGGAGACGUUUCACAAGAUGAAGUCGCCACCGCCUGGGUCGUUGUGCACGUUGACUCGCUUGCACCACCGCAGCUGCUUCCGCCUGGACGAAUGCUGCGUGGAGUCGAUGAACCUGCCGUUGUCGCUGAACGAGUUCAACGGAUACAAGUAUCGCAACAAGCAGCUGCUGGGCUCCAUGAGCUCCGGUGCCCCGUAUAUGUGAAUCCUCGCGUGCCGCGGCAGUGCCCAUCUACGUGUUUGUCUGCGCCUCUCCUUCCCCUACCAUACGGACGGUCAACUACAUGAGCGCCUUUCGUUUUGCUUGGGAUGGCGGCCGUGUAUAGGGAGGCGGAGUCCCGGCAGAGGGCGUCUUGAGUCGAUGAGCGACGGCAGUGGGGGGAGAGGCGGAGGCGCUGGGCAUCGCGUCCAUUCGCCUCACUCACUUGAGCGACUGGCAUGCCCACCGUUUUCUUUGUCUGCGCGUGCUUCUCCUCGUCGCGCAUCUACGCAAGACGGGGCUGGAGGGCAAGGGAAGAAGGAAGAGUGGGUGUGGGUGUGGGCUAGGCAGGGAUGGAGGUCCGUGAUGGUGCUGCUGGACGUUGUCCUCCCUCCCUCUAUCCGUUUCACUCCCUCAUUCCUGCCUUCCACCGCCGCCACUCGCCCUUUCGUACCUCCCACCCGGUAUUGCCUUCAGCGGCCAUCACUCGUCUCCAAGUCUCUUCUCGCCAUGGUGCUCUGUUUCUCCCUUUUUUUGUCUUUGUUGCUUUCUGCCCUUUUCUCUUUCGGUUUGCAAUGCUGCGCGCGCACCCUCCUGGUGGGCUUCCUUCCGUUCAUUUUUUUUUUUGCACACCGCUGGACGAGUCCAGGGACGCACUACGAACAAGCGAAGCGUAGAUGAGCGAAAAGAAAUGUGCGUGUGCGCGCGAGGAGGCGCGCGACCGGAUACAUCCACAGUGAGGGAGCCAUGAUGGGGCGCAGCGUACAUCCAGGGAUACAUACCCAGAGAGGUGCCCUGACGCACAGAAAUGCAUGACCAUUUGUGCCGUGCCUUUUUUUCUCUCGGCUAUGCCGAUGUGUUUCUCAACCUUCUGUGUGCGUCGAUGCAUGCGUGCGGAAAGGGUUGAGGGGUGACGGUGGCGACUGUGAUUUGCUGAUCUCACCCUUUGCAUUCUCAUCGACCGCACCCGUACGCUAAUUUUCAUUGACCCUCGCCGGUGACUACACGCACGUGCGCGCGCGCGAUAGAGAGACAGAGGGCAGCCAGAAGCAAAAAGGAUGCCUUGCCUCUGUUGGCAAAUGUUCGCCCUUUCCUCAACGACCGCCUCCACCGUCUGCUCGGUGACGGGCGUGCAAAGGUGCAGGUGCCGCCCACCUCACGUUCCCCUCGUAGAGGCUGUGCAUCACUUGGCCGAGCGUGUUGCUCGCUUCCACCUCCAUUGUGCCAUCACUUACUUUGGCUCUCUUUUCGUUAUUAUCUUGUGCCGUCUACCACUCUUACGGCACCCCGUGAAAACGCCAUGGCUCGUUCGUUUGUAUAAUACGUGUACUUGUUUUCUCGCGUCCUCCUUUGUGCGCGUGUCUCACUGAUGCUCGCGCGCACGCGCACGUCGGCUGCCAG